rnacentral:rRNA from 1 species
AGCGAACGCUGGCGGCAGGCCUAACACAUACAAGUUGAGCGGAUGAAAGGAGCUUGCUCCUGGAUUCAGCGGCGGACGGGUGAGUAAUGCCUAGGAAUCUGCCUGGUAGUGGGGGACAACGUUUCGAAAGGAACGCUAAUACCGCAUACGUCCUACGGGAGAAAGCAGGGGGCCUUCGGGCCUUGCGCUAUCAGAUGAGCCUAGGUCGGAUUAGCUAGUAGGUGAGGUAAUGGCUCACCUAGGCGACGAUCCGUAACUGGUCUGAGAGGAUGAUCAGUCACACUGGAACUGAGACACGGUCCAGACUCCUACGGGAGGCAGCAGUGGGGAAUAUUGGACAAUGGGCGAAAGCCUGAUCCAGCCAUGCCGCGUGUGUGAAGAAGGUCUUCGGAUUGUAAAGCACUUUAAGUUGGGAGGAAGGGUUGUACGUUAAUACCGUGCAAUUUUGACGUUACCGACAGAAUAAGCACCGGCUAACUCUGUGCCAGCCGCCGCUGUAACAC